UACGUAGGGUCCGAGCGUUGUCCGGAAUUACUGGGCGUAAAGAGCUCGUAGGUGGUUUGUCGCGUUGUUCGUGAAAACUCACAGCUCAACUGUGGGCGUGCGGGCGAUACGGGCAGACUUGAGUACUGCAGGGGAGACUGGAAUUCCUGGUGUAGCGGUGAAAUGCGCAGAUAUCAGGAGGAACACCGGUGGCGAAGGCGGGUCUCUGGGCCGAUACUGACGCUGAGGAGCGAAAGCGUGGGGAGCGAACAGG
rnacentral:rRNA from 1 species